GAGAAGAAACUAACCAGGAUUUCCCUAGUAAUGGCGAACGAACCGGAAAGAGCCCAGCUUGAAAAUCCCGGCGCUUCGCGCCGGGAGUUGUAGUCUGGAGACGCAUCCUCUGCAACGCACCGGACCCAAGUUCCCUGGAAAGGGACGUCAGAGAGGGUGACAACCCCGUCGAGUCUGGACCGUGUUGCUCCACGAGGUGUGGUCGUCKAGUCGGGCUGUUUGGGAAUGCAGCCCUAAGUGGGAGGUAAAUUCCUUCCAAGGCUAAAUAUUGGCAAGAGACCGAUAGCGAACAAGUACCGCGAGGGAAAGAUGAAAAGGACUUUGAAAAGAGAGUUAAAAAGUGCUUGAAAUUGCUGGGAGGGAAGCGAAUGGAAGCUGCGGGUGUGCCCCGGUUGGAUGUGGAACGGCCUUCAAAAGCUGGUCCGCCGCUCAACGCGGGGCACUGGUCAGCGUGGGCCAUCGUGGCGGGACAAGAGCGGGAUGUAGUUUCCCGCCUAUGCCGUUGCGGUGGCCGAGGAACGAAGCGCGCGGGGCUCGCCCCGUGGGACCCGUCCCAACUGCGCGCUCGAGACGCUGGCGUAUUGAGCUCUUCAUCCGACCCGUCUUGAAACACGGACCAAGGAGUCUAACAUGUAUGCGAGCCGGUGGGCGGCAAACCCAUUGAGGCGCAAGGAAACUGACAGGUGGGACCCCUCGUAAAACAAGGGAGCACCAUCGACCGACCGUGAUCUUCUGUGAAAGGUUCGAGUGUGAGCAUACCUGUUGGGACCCGAAAGAUGGUGAACUAUGCCUGAGCAGGGCGAAGCCAGAGGAAACUCUGGUGGAGGCUCGUAGCGAUACUGACGUGCAAAUCGUUCGUCAGACUUGGGUAUAGGGGCGAAAGACUAAUCGAACCAUCUAGUAGCUGGUUCCCUCCGAAGUUUCCCUCAGGAUAGCUGGAGCUCAUGUAAGAGUUUUAUCAGGUAAAGCGAAUGAUUAKAGGCAUCGGGGGUGUAACACCCUCGACCUAUUCUCAAACUUUAAAUAGGUAAGCCGCCGGGGUUGCUUGGUUGAACCCCGGCACAGAAUGAGAGCUCCAAGUGGGCCAU
rnacentral:rRNA from 1 species